UACGUAGGGUGCGAGCGUUGUCCGGAUUUAUUGGGCGUAAAGAGCUCGUAGGCGGCCUGUCGCGUCGACCGUGAAAACCCGCAGCUCAACUGCGGGCUUGCGGUCGAUACGGGCAGGCUGGAGCUCGGUAGGGGAGACUGGAAUUCCUGGUGUAGCGGUGAAAUGCGCAGAUAUCAGGAGGAACACCGGUGGCGAAGGCGGGUCUCUGGGCCGAUACUGACGCUGAGGAGCGAAAGCGUGGGGAGCGAACAGG
rnacentral:rRNA from 1 species